GUAUGGGAAUUGCUGAAUGCUCCUUGAAAAAGCUUAAUAGCUUGAGCCUCUAAAGUUAAAGAGAGUCCCUUAUGCAGUUGCGUAAUGAUGAGAAACGAUUAAUCUGAAAUUGGCAAGAGGUAGCCACGGCUUUAACAGCUUAAACACAUUGGCACAUUUGUGUCUUUAUAAUGACAAAUACCUGAAUGGAGUUGCCUGUCGGUUCAAAAAUCAAAUGGGAUUAUGGGAAUUGCAAAAGGCCCUUAAAAGCUUAUCACAUAAAGCAGAAUGUGUGAGCUCUAUCAUUGUCCGUUGUUCUGACUGCGGAAAA
rnacentral:lncRNA from 1 species